CCUCCGUUCCGCGCUCCGGCCCCGCCCUGGUUCCGACCCCGCCUCGCCUCGCCCCGCGGCCCGGCUCCGCCCCGUUUCUCCGUCGCGCUUGGCAUCCCGGUGGAGGAGCCCCGCCGCCCCGGCAGAGCCCGGAUCUCCGCACAACCGAAGCCCUCCACCCCAGACCCGGGUGGCCGCCGCUGGAGCGCGCGGCGCGGCGUGAAAAGAUGGCCGCCCUGACGACGGUCGUGGUGGCGGCGGCUGCCACCGCCGUAGCCGGGGCUGUGGCGGGGGCGGGCGCGGCCCCGGGAACCGGCGUGGGAGCCGCGGUGCCGCAACAGAAUGAUGGCUGUCUCGGUACUUCAGGUGGAAUUCGUCCUUUUCAGCUUCAAAACUGGAAGCAGAAAGUUAGUCGAACUAAGAAAGCAGAAUUCAUACGUACAGCUGAAAAAUAUAAAAAUCAGGUUAUUAAUCUAGAAAAAGACAAACACAGUCAUUUCUACAACCAAAAAAGUGACUUCAGAAUUGAACAUAGUAUGCUGGAAGAAUUGGAAAAUAAACUGAUUAACAGCAGGAAAACAGAAAGAGCAAAAAUCCAGCAACAGUUGGCCAAAAUAUACAACAAUGUAAAGAAACUUCAGCAUCAGUUAAAAGAUGCGAAGCCUACACCUGAUUUUGUUGAAAAGCUCAGAGAAAUGAUGGAGGAAAUUGAAAAUGCAAUUAACACUUUUAAGGAAGAGCAGAGGUUGAUAUAUGAAGAGCUUAUUAAAGAAGAGAAAACAACUAAUAAUGAGUUGAAUGCCAUAUCAAGAAAAAUUGACACAUGGGCUUUGGGUAAUUCAGAAACAGAGAAGGCUUUCAGAGCAGCAUCGAGCAAAGUUCCUGUGGACAAAGUCACACCAAGUGCUCUUCCAGAAGAAGUGGUAGAGUUUGAAACGUUCCUUCAGCAGACGGGAGGGCGCCAGGGGGGCUGGGAUGAUUAUGACCACCAGAACUUUGUGAAGAUGAGAAGCAAGCAUAAAGGGAAGCCAGCGUUCAUGGGAGAAGUUCUGGAGCACCUUCCCGGAAGAACGCAGGAUGAAGUUCAACAGCAUGAGAAAUGGUAUCAAAAAUUUCUGGCCCUGGAAGAAAGAAAAAAAGAGUCUAUUCAGCAUUGGAAAACCAAAAAGCAGCAAAAAAAGGAGGAAAUUUUCAAAUUAAAGGAAAAAGACAGCAUACAAGUACUUUCUCAUAAUAAACAGGAAGAUAAUCAAAAACAAAAAGAAGAACAAAGAAAGAAGCAAAAAUUGGCCAUUGAAGCUUGGAAAAAACAGAGAAGUAUAGAAAUGUCAAUGAAAAACGCCUCCCAGUUAAAAGAGGAGGAAGAGAAAGAGAAAAAACAGCAGAGAGAGCGUCAGCGCCAGUGUAAACUGAAAUUGCUGCUGGAGACUUACACCCAACAGAAGAAAGAACAGGAAGAAUUUUUGAGACUUGAAAAGGAGAUACGGGAAAAGACAGAAAAGGCAGAAAAAAGGAAAACUGCUGCUGAUGAAAUUUCCAGGUUUCAAGAAAGAGAUUUACAUAAACUUGAAUUGAAAAUUCUGAAUAGACAAUUAAAGGAAGAUGAGAAGGCAGAAAAACAAAGAAAACUGGCAAAAUUAAAAGAAAAGGUUGAAAACAAUGUUAGUAGAGAUCCCUCUAGACUUUACAAACCUACCAAAGGUUGGGAAGAACGGACCAAAAAGAUAGGACCAACAGGCUCUGGGCCACUUCUACAUAUCCCACAUAGGGCUAUUCCAACCUGGAGACAAGGAGUUUAGAAAAUAUGGGAUCAUGAAAUUGUCAUUCAGUUGAUGAGAAUGUUAGCAUAUGGAGUUACAGGAGGAGAGAAUGACCAUGUCCUUAAAAUUUUAUUAGCCUCUUCAGAUUGAUUAUUGUGUUGCAUGUGAACUGGCAGUUACAGGCUCGUGGAAAAGAGGUCAGAUAAACAUGGCUUACACUGGAUUAAGAAAUUGAGGAAAAAACACUAAAGGAAAAAUGUUAUAAAGCACCCACAGUUCUACUACUCUAAAGGUUGACUAUUGCAUUUUUCGCACUCUCUGGGCUGGAUAUGUUGGACUCCUUAGAUGUGGUGAACAAGGAUGAUAUAAUAGAGUGGAUUUACUCCCUGCAGGUCCUUCCCACAGAAGACAGUGAGUGCUGACCAAGGUAGGCAUCGUGCCUUGCGACGACUGCUCAGAGGUUGAACGGGGAUUCGCAAUUUGUGCACCGUCCUGCUGUGCAUGUCCACCCUGACAUCUGCUCGACGACUUGUAUUCCACAUUUAUGUUUGGAUCAAAUCUAAAUCGCUGUGGUUUCCGAGGCUCUUCCUAUCUGGGUAUUCCAUUCAAUCCAUCAAAGAAUUCUGGGACUGCUCAUCCUUACGACAGUGGCCACAUAGCAAUGACCUACACGGGCCUUUCAUGCCUAGUUAUUCUUGGAGACGACCUAAGCCGGGUAAA